GGACUCAGGGGGAAGUAUGCUCGCAAGAGUGAAACUUAAAGGAAUUGACGGAAGGGCACCACCAGAUGUGGAGCCUGCGGCUUAAUUUGACUCAACACGGGAAAACUUACCAGGUCCAGACAUAGUCAGGAUUGACAGAUUGAAGUUCUUUCAUGAUUCUAUGCAUAGUGGUGCAUGGCCGUUCUUAGUUGGUGGAAUGAUCUGUCAGGUUAAUUCCGAUAACGAACGAGACCCCAGCCAUCUAAAUAGCUGUCGCUACUAUAUAUUAUAGUAGUGUGUGUUUUCACUUACAGCUUCUUAGAGGGACUAUCUGUGUCAACAGGUGGAAGUGUGGGGCAAUAACAGGUCAGUGAUGCCCUUAGAUGCUCUGGGCUGCACGCGCGCUACAAUGGUGCAUUCAGCGAGAUUAACCUGGCUUGAAAAGGCUGGGUAAACUUAAAAGUGCAUCUCAGUUGGGAUAGAUGAUUGCAAUUAUUCAUCUUGAACAAGGAAUAUCUAGUAAACGCAAGUCAUCAACUUGCAUUGAUUACGUCCCUGCCCUUUGUACACACCGCCCGUCGCUCCUACCGAUUGAAUAAAUCCGGUGAAUUGAGUGGGUUGGACGACRGCAGCUGCUCUUUUUUAGAGUAGGUGCUGUGGGCCAAGAAGCUCUGUGAACCUUAUUAUUUAGAGGAAGGAGAAAGUCGUAACAAGGUAUCCGUAGG
rnacentral:rRNA from 1 species